CAUUUAGGAUUUGCGUUUUCUCUCUUUCUUUCUUUCUCUAUUUAGUUGUUGAAAGCAGUGUUCACAGUCACUAAUGUCUUCUAUCAGAGGAGACAGUUUUUAUGUAUGUGGGGUUUUUUUGUUUUUUAGGAUUUUGUUUUGAAUACAGAAAGCCCUAUUUCAUUAUCAGCCAUAACAUCUCCUAGAUGACCACUCAUCAACCAAAUGUCCUUUUCAGUGGUCAUGGAAUAGAGUAAGCCAUUGAAGUCGAUGGCUUGUCCCAGUCCUCACUAUCAGAACUAGUCUAAGAAUUUGAAGUCGAUGUGUUAUUUUUACUCUAUAAAGUAAAAGUAGAAAGUCAGUUUCGGUACUUAAUAAAUAUGAUUAUUCUAUGCUGAUAGUAAUCUUGAGAAAGUAUAGUUUUUAUACUUCUAUUCCCAAAUGUAAAAACUCAUAAUUUUUCUACAUAUGAUUUUAAUUUGGUUCCCUUAAGCCAAAAAACAUGACAACAAUUAUUGCUACUCACCCCCAAGAAGAAAAUGUGGACAGGUUUGUGGGAAAUUGUUAAAAAAAAAAAAAAAAAAAAAAAAAAAAAAAAGACGUUUAGCAUAACCAGGUACUUUCAAGCUCCUCAUUAGUUUGUGAAAAGUCCUGAUGGUUACAUUUCACUGAAACUUGAAAAAUUAAGCAGAAUACAGGAGCAAAUAGCACGAGGAGUUCUCUUUCUGGACUAACUCUAAAUAACAAUUUUUUUAAAUUUUUUUAAUUUUUUUUUUUAUUAUUAUACUUUAGGUUUUAGGGUACAUGUGCACAAUGUGCAGGUUUGUUACAUAUGUAUCCAUGUGCCAUGUUGGUUUGCUGCACCCAUUAACUCAUCAUUUAGCAUUAGGUAUAUCUCCUAGUGCUACAACUUUUAAUGUCUGAGCUAACUAGAAUGUAAUAGAAUUUUCCAGAAGUCAAAAAGGAAGCAGGAGUAGUAAUCUGGGAAAAUAAGUCAGCACUAUAGGCUGUAGUUAUUCUGGAAGAAUCUGUAAUUGUCUCUAACCUAGUGCUUGAGAGCCGUAUCCUCAUGGAAAGAAUUAACUAGGAAAAGUCCUUUCCACAAAAGCAGAGGGCAAGGAAACUUGCUUGUCUGGCUGUAUGGUAAGGGGACAAGAUUUCUGGGAAUUUGUAAUCAUAGGCUUCUGAUACAGGUCUUUAGCCUAAGUUCAUAGAACCAGUGUGCCCUGAAAAACUCGAGACCAAGAAGAACUUAGUUCUUUAGUGUAAAGUGCUCAUGGCUUGGUAGUAUCCCAAGGAACCUGGAAAAAAGGGCUUCUCCAAAGAUAUCAAUCAACCAGGCCUCAAAGAAAUGCCACACAUGGCCAGGUGUGGUGGCUCACACCUGUAAUCCCAGCACUUUGGGAACCUGAGGUGAGCAGAUCACAAGGUCAGGAGUUUGAGACCAGCCUGGCCAAUAUGGUGACCCCGUUUCUACUAAAAAUACAAAAACUAGCUGGGCAUGGUGGCGAGUGCCUGUAAUCCCAGCUACUCAGGAGGCUGAGGCAGGAGAAUUGCCUGAAUCCCGGAGGUGAAGUUGCAGUGAGCUGAGUUCGUGCCAUUGCACUCCAACCCAGGCAACAGAGCGAGACUCCAUCUCAAAAAAAGAAAAAAGAAAUCCCACACAUAAAAGAAUAUUAACUCACAAUAAAAUUAUCUUUAAAUCACAAAACCAAGAGAAAAAGCACAAUGAGCAAAAAGGCAAUAGAAACAAUAGGUAGUCAUACCAGCAAAGGCUUCAGUUAUUAGAAUUAUGAGAUGUAGAAUAUAAAAUACUAUCUUUGAAGAAAUAAGAGAGGGGAUAGAAAGUACAGUUGACCCUUGAACAACAUGGGUUUAAAGUAUGUAUGCAGGUCCACUUAUACAUAGAUUAUUGUCCUGCCUCUGCCAUCCCUCAGACAGCAAGCCAAACCCCUCCUUUUCUUACUACUCAGGCUACUCAGUGCAAAGAUGACGAGGAUAAAGACCUUUAUGAUGUUCUACUUUUACUUAAUAAGUAGUAAAUAUAUUUUCUCAUGAUUUUCUUGGUAACUUUUUUUUCUAGUUUGUUGUAAAAAUACAAUAUAAAAUACAUGUAACGUGUUAAUUGACUGUUUAUUUGUUGGUAAGGCUUCCUGUUAACAGUAUUCUAUAGUAGUUAAGUUUCAGGAGAGUCAAAAUUUAUGCAUGCCUAGCCCCCACAUUAUUCAAGGGCCACUUGUGUUAGUAAGGAACAAGAAACUAUCAAAAAUAGGUGCAAUGGGCAUGAUCUCACAUAUGUGGAAUUUUUAAAAGUCAAACUUGUAGAAGAGUAGAAUGAUGGCUACUAGAGGCUGAGGAUUGGAAAGCUGGGGAAAGGAGAGAUGUUGAUGAAGUGGGGUAUGGAGUUUCAACUGGACAGGAGAAAUAGGUUCUCAUGAUCUGUUACACAGCACAGUGAUUAUAGUUAAUAAUUUAUAUUUUAAAUCUUCUUAGAACAAAGAAAUAAGUUUUUUGACAUGACAAAUGUUAAUUUGCCUGAUUUUUAUCAUUCCACAAUGUGUACAUGUAUUGAAACAUCACAUACCUGAUAAAUAUAUACAAUUAUUUGUUAAUUAAAAAUGAAAUAAAACAUAAAAAAGGAUAAUGGAAUAUCAUGCUAUGUGUGAGAGAGGAAAUGGUCAAAAAAUGAUGGUGAGGGGGUAUAUAAGGACACAGGAACCAGCUUGAAGAGACUCUGCUGGCCAAAUCUGGAUUAAUUUGAAUACCAAGUAUAGGAAAAAAUAAUUUCUAAGUUCAUACUUAUAAUAAUAGGUAAAUAGGGAAGAAGAGGGAGAGUUCUUCCUUAUAGUGGAAUGCCAAGUGCUGACUGUUAGAUGUUGGGGAGUAGGGCUGGAGUUGGAAGAUAGUGCAGACGACUCUCACAAACAUGUGGAACAAAAAAGUUGCCAUAUACAUAUGGCAUAACAAAUUCAAAA